CAGCAGCCACGGUAAUACGGAGGGUGCAAGCGUUAAUCGGAAUUACUGGGCGUAAAGCGCACGCAGGCGGUCUGACAAGUCAGAUGUGAAAUCCCCGGGCUUAACCUGGGAACUGCAUUUGAAACUGUCAGGCUGGAGUCUUGUAGAGGGGGGUGGAAUUCCAGGUGUAGCGGUGAAAUGCGUAGAGAUCUGGAGGAAUACCGGUGGCGAAGGCGGCCCCCUGGACAAAGACUGACGCUCAGGUGCGAAAGCGUGGGGAGCAAACAGGAUUAGAUACCCGUGUAGUCCCUGUCUCUUUACA
rnacentral:rRNA from 1 species